ACAGCAGUCGCCGCGGUAAUACGUAGGUGGUAAGCGUUGUCCGGAAUUAUUGGGCGUAAAGGGCUCGCAGGCGGUUUCUUAAGUCUGGUGUGAAAGCCCCCGGCUCAACCGGGGAGGGUCAUUGGAAACUGGGAAACUUGAGUGCAGAAGAGGAGAGUGGAAUUCCACGUGUAGCGGUGAAAUGCGUAGAGAUGUGGAGGAACACCAGUGGCGAAGGCGACUCUCUGGUCUGUAACUGACGCUGAGGAGCGAAAGCGUGGGGAGCGAACAGGAUUAGAUACCCCAGUAGUCCCUGUCUCUUAUAC
rnacentral:rRNA from 1 species